rnacentral:tRNA from 1 species
GAGGGUAUAGCUUAGUGGUAGAGCGUAUGCUUAGUAAGUAUGAGGUCCUGGGUUCAACCCCUAGUACCUUCA